rnacentral:siRNA from 1 species
CACACCUUCAAUUAGAAGAACCUU